rnacentral:rRNA from 1 species
AGAGAAAGAAAACUCGAUUUUCAAAGUAGCGGCGAGCGAAAUGGAAAGAGCCCAAACCGGAGUGCGUGCACUCCGGGGUUCGGACUGCAUUUAUGACUUCUGACUGUAGCGGAACGGUUCUGGAAAGACCGGCCAGAGAGGGUGAGAGCCCCGUAGGCGAAACGGAAAGAAGCAGAGCAGGAUCCAGAGUACCACGAGACACGAGAAACCUUGUGGGAAUGAGCGGGGACCACCCCGUAAGGCUAAAUACUCCUUAGUGACCGAUAGAGCAGAGUACUGUGAAGGAAAGGUGAAAAGGACCCCGGGAGGGGAGUGAAAGAGAACCUGAAACCCUGUGUUUACAAACUGUGGAAGUACCAUAUGAGUACAACCGCGUACUUUUUGUAGAACGGUCCGGCGAGUUACGUUUACUGGCGAGGUUAAGCACUUAAGGUGCGGAGCCGAAGGGAUACCAAGUCUUAACAGGGCGUUAAGUCAGUGUACGUAGACCCGAAACCGGGUGAUCUACCCAUGUCCAGGCUGAAGUUGCCGUAAAAGGCAAUGGAGGGCCGAACGCACAUCCGUUGAAAAGGGUGGCGAUGAGGUGUGGGUAGGGGAGAAAUUCCAAUCGAACCCGGAGAUAGCUGGUUCUCCUCGAAAUAGCUUUAGGGCUAGCCUCGUUUUAGUCUUAUGGAGGUAGAGCACUGAAUUUCCGCGGGGGCGUCAAAGCUUACCAAAGAAUAUCAAACUCCGAAUGCCAUGUAGAUGAUGAACGGGAGUCAGACUGCACGAGAUAAGUUGGGCAGUCAAAAGGGAAAGAGCCCAGACCGCCAGCCAAGGUCCCAAAGUGUGUGUUAAGUGGAAAAGGAUGUGGGAUCUCCAAGACAACUAGGAUGUUGGCUCAGAAGCAGCCACACAUUCAAAGAGUGCGUAACAGCUCACUAGUCGAGAGGUCCUGCGCCGAAAAUGUCCGGGGCUGAAACACAACACCGAAGCUGCGGAAUUGCGAAUGCAAUUGGUAGAGGAGCAUUCUUAAUACCGACGAAGCUGUACCGGAAGGAGCAGUGGAGGGAUAAGAAGAGAGAAUGCCGGAAUGAGUAGCGAGAGAGAGGUGGGAAUCCUCUCGGCCGAAUAUCCAAGGUUUCCAGAGUAAAGCUGAUCUGCUCUGGGUAAGUCGGGGCCUAAGGCGAGGUCAAGAGACGUAGCCGAUGGACAACAGGUUUAGAUUCCUGUACCGCAUAUAAACAGAACUGUGGGGACGCAUGGGGAGAGCAUGGGCCGGGAAUGGAAAUACCGGUGCAAGCGAAGGAGGUGUGCAGCCGGCAAAUCCGCUGCAUGAGCCGAAAGCGUGACGCGGAGCGAAAUGAAAGUAGCGAAGCAUGUGAGCCCUGUGCCGAGAAAAGCCGCUAUAGCUUUAUAUGUGCCCGUACCGUAAACCGACACAGGUGGAUGAGGAGAGAAUCCUAAGGCCGGCGGAAGAAGUAUUGUUAAGGAACUCGGCAAAAUGACCCCGUAACUUCGGGAGAAGGGGUGCCCACGGGAGUGGGCCGCAGAGAAUAGGCUCAAGCAACUGUUUAGCAAAAACACAGGUCUAUGCGAAACCGAAAGGUGAAGUAUAUGGGCUGACGCCUGCCCGGUGCUGGAAGGUUAAGAGGAGAGGUUAGCGCAAGCGAAGCUUUGAAUUUAAGCCCCAGUAAACGGCGGCCGUAACUAUAACGGUCCUAAGGUAGCGAAAUUCCUUGUCGGGUAAGUUCCGACCCGCACGAAAGGCGUAAUGAUUUGAGCGCUGUCUCGGCAAUGCAUCCGGUGAAAUUGAAGUACCAGUGAAGAUGCUGGUUACCUCCCUCCCUGGAGGCAAAACACCCUGGUGAAUCAGAGUACUUGCAGGCUGUAAAAGAAGUCCUGCUUUCUAUUGAGGAUAUAUACAAUCAACAUCCGGAAUUUGAGAAAGCGUCCUUGAUUGAGAGAUUGGUAGAGCCCGACCGUAUCUUUACAUUUAAGGUGCCUUGGGUAGAUGAUAAAGGAAAAGUACAGGUAAACUUAGGUUACCGCGUUCAAUUCAAUAAUGCGAUCGGCCCGUACAAAGGCGGUAUCCGUUUUCAUGCUUCUGUAAACCUCUCCAUUUUGAAAUUCUUAGGAUUUGAGCAAACAUUCAAAAAUGCACUGACCACAUUGCCUAUGGGCGGUGGUAAAGGUGGUUCCGAUUUCUCACCACGUGGUAAGAGCGAUGCUGAGAUCAUGCGUUUCUGCCAAGCAUUCAUGCUUGAAUUGUGGCGCCACGUAGGUCCUGAUAUGGAUGUUCCUGCCGGUGACAUCGGUGUAGGUGGCCGUGAAGUAGGAUACAUGUUCGGUAUGUAUAAAAAGUUAACCCGUGAAUUUACAGGUACCUUCACUGGCAAAGGCUUGGAAUUUGGAGGUUCGUUGAUUCGUCCUGAAGCAACCGGUUUUGGUGGUCUUUACUUCGUAAACCA